UACGGGGGGGGCAAGCGUUGUUCGGAAUUACUGGGCGUAAAGGGCGUGUAGGCGGCCAACUAAGUCCGACGUGAAAGCCCCGGGCUCAACCUGGGAAUUGCGAUGGAGACUGCAAGGCUUGAAUCUGGCAGAGGGGGGUAGAAUUCCACGUGUAGCAGUGAAAUGCGUAGAGAUGUGGAGGAACACCGAUGGCGAAGGCAGCCCCCUGGGUCAAGAUUGACGCUCAUGCACGAAAGCGUGGGGAGCAAACAGG
rnacentral:rRNA from 1 species